GUUUUAAUAAUUUAAGAUAAAAUAUUGGUCUUGUAAAUCAAACUUAAGGAUAUACACCUUUUAAAACU
rnacentral:tRNA from 1 species